AAGCCUGUGAAGGUGUACUGUGAGGUAUGCUGGAGGUAUCAGAAGUGCGAAUGCUGACAUAAGUAACGAUAAAGCGGGUGAAAAGCCCGCUCGCCGGAAGACCAAGGGUUCCUGUCCAACGUUAAUCGGGGCAGGGUGAGUCGACCCCUAAGGCGAGGCCGAAAGGCGUAGUCGAUGGGAAACAGGUUAAUAUUCCUGUACUUGGUGUUACUGCGAAGGGGGGACGGAGAAGGCUAUGUUGGCCGGGCGACGGUUGUCCCGGUUUAAGCGUGUAGGCUGGUUUUCCAGGCAAAUCCGGAAAAUCAAGGCUGAGGCGUGAUGACGAGGCACUACGGUGCUGAAGCAACAAAUGCCCUGCUUCCAGGAAAAGCCUCUAAGCAUCAGGUAACAUCAAAUCGUACCCCAAACCGACACAGGUGGUCAGGUAGAGAAUACCAAGGCGCUUGAGAGAACUCGGGUGAAGGAACUAGGCAAAAUGGUGCCGUAACUUCGGGAGAAGGCACGCUGAUAUGUAGGUGAAGCGACUUGCUCGUGGAGCUGAAAUCAGUCGAAGAUACCAGCUGGCUGCAACUGUUUAUUAAAAACACAGCACUGUGCAAACACGAAAGUGGACGUAUACGGUGUGACGCCUCCCCGGUGCCGGAAGGUUAAUUGAUGGGGUUGGCGCAAGCGAAGCUCUUGAUCGAAGCCCCGGUAAACGGCGGCCGUAACAAUAACGGUCCUAAGGUAGCGAAAUUCCUUGUCGGGUAAGUUCCGACCUGCACGAAUGGCGUAAUGAUGGCCAGGCUGUCUCCACCCGAGACUCAGUGAAAUUGAACUCGCUGUGAAGAUGCAGUGUACCCGCGGCAAGACGGAAAGACCCCGUGAACCUUUACUAUAGCUUGACACUGAACAUUGAGCCUUGAUGUGUAGGAUAGGUGGGAGGCUUUGAAGUGUGGACGCCAGUCUGCAUGGAGCCGACCUUGAAAUACCACCCUUUAAUGUUUGAUGUUCUAACGUUGACCCGUAAUCCGGGUUGCGGACAGUGUCUGGUGGGUAGUUUGACUGGGGCGGUCUCCUCCUAAAGAGUAACGGAGGAGCGCGAAGGUUGGCUAAUCCUGGUCGGACAUCAGGAGGUUAGUGCAAUGGCAUAAGCCAGCUUGACUGCGAGCGUGACGGCGCGAGCAGGUGCGAAAGCAGGUCAUAGUGAUCCGGUGGUUCUGAAUGGAAGGGCCAUCGCUCAACGGAUAAAAGGUACUCCGGGGAUAACAGGCUGAUACCGCCCAAGAGUUCAUAUCGACGGCGGUGUUUGGCACCUCGAUGUCGGCUCAUCACAUCCUGGGGCUGAAGUAGGUCCCAAGGGUAUGGCUGUUCGCCAUUUAAAGUGGUACGCGAGCUGGGUUUAGAACGUCGUGAGACAGUUCGGUCCCUAUCUGCCGUGGGCGCUGGAGAACUGAGGGGGGCUGCUCCUAGUACGAGAGGACCGGAGUGGACGCAUCACUGGUGUUCGGGUUGUCAUGCCAAUGGCACUGCCCGGUAGCUAAAUGCGGAAGAGAUAAGUGCUGAAAGCAUCUAAGCACGAAACUUGCCCCGAGAUGAGUUCUCCCUGACUCCUUGAGAGUCCUGAAGGAACGUUGAAGACGACGACGUUGAUAGGCCGGGUGUGUAAGCGCAGCGAUGCGUUGAGCUAACCGGUACUAAUGAACCGUGAGGCUUAACC
rnacentral:rRNA from 1 species